rnacentral:rRNA from 1 species
GAUGAACGCUAGCGGCAGGCCUAAUACAUGCAAGUCGAGGGGCAGCACGGUAGCAAUACUGGUGGCGACCGGCGCACGGGUGCGUAACACGUAUACAAUCUGCCUUUAACAGGGGGAUAGCCUUUCGAAAGAGAGAUUAAUACCCCAUAACAAUGGAAGGAGCAUUCCUUCUAUUUAAAAGCUCCGGCGGUUAAAGAUGA